CAGUAGCCGCGGUAACACGUAGGGUGCAAGCGUUAAUCGGAAUUACUGGGCGUAAAGCGUGCGCAGGCGGUUAUAUAAGACAGAUGUGAAAUCCCCGGGCUCAACCUGGGAACUGCAUUUGUGACUGUAUAGCUAGAGUACGGCAGAGGGGGAUGGAAUUCCGCGUGUAGCAGUGAAAUGCGUAGAUAUGCGGAGGAACACCGAUGGCGAAGGCAAUCCCCUGGGCCUGUACUGACGCUCAUGCACGAAAGCGUGGGGAGCAAACAGGAUUAGAUACCCGGGUAGUCCCUGUCUCUUAUAC
rnacentral:rRNA from 1 species